rnacentral:rRNA from 1 species
GUGCCAGCAGCCGCGGUAAGACGUAGGGGGCCAGCGUUGUUCGGAAUUACUGGGUGUAAAGGGUUCGUAGGCGGUGCGGCAAGUUGGGAGUGAAAUCUCUGGGCUUAACCCAGAGGCUGCUUCCAAAACUGCUGUGCUUGAGUGUGGGAGAGGCGCGUGGAAUUGCAGGUGUAGCGGUGAAAUGCGUAGAUAUCUGCAGGAACACCCGUGGCGAAAGCGGCGCGCUGGACCACUACUGACGCUGAGGAACGAAAGCUAGGGGAGCAAACAGGAUUAGAUACCCUGGUAGUCC